GAGGGCCUCUGAGGAACAAGGAAGUCAUUGCUUGUAGCUAAAGUAUCAGGGGUGGCAGAGUGGAGGAGGAGGCAUCUGAGCUAGCUCUAGACUCUGAAACAUGACCGCUCGGGAGUAGUUCCUCCAUCCACAAAUUAUGCAGUCGAGUUUCCUCGAAUUUGGGGUCAAUACACACAGAGUGCAAUGGAUGAACCUCGCUCUGGAGAAAUCACCUGCAUAAUCAUGGUAUUUCCCCUUCCAGGAUUUAUACAGAAGCAGUCUUCCAAAUUCUGAAACCUGAUGCCCAUCACAUACUUUGGGCUGAGAAAAGAAAAUCAAACAUUUGUUUGAUGCAGCCUCCCUCCCUCAGCCUUCAAGCAGGCUGAUCCAGACUUUGACCUUGCUGCCGCUAAGAAGGCGAUUACCUAGGGUAGAGCCUUCUGACCUUGAUGGCUCUAUUUGCUCUUCUCCUUGACUCUGCUUCCAGCUGAAAGGUCCCUGAGACAGUCCAAAGACACACCCUGUAGAUCGCCUAAGGGCUGGCUCCAGGUACCAAGAAUGGGUUGGCAGGGGAUGGGCCUUCCCCCUUAUAAGCACACUCUCUUAAUAAACUCGGGGGCCUUGAACAGAAACAUUUCUUGGCCUCCAUUAUUUCUCUCACAGUUUCCUUCCAUACAGCUCCGGCCUCCCACUCAGGAACCCAGUUAGU
rnacentral:lncRNA from 1 species